GUGGGGAAUUUUGGACAAUGGGGGCAACCCUGAUCCAGCCAUGCCGCGUGCGGGAAGAAGGCCUUCGGGUUGUAAACCGCUUUUGUCAGGGAAGAAAUCCUUUGGGUUAAUACCUCGGCGGGAUGACGGUACCUGAAGAAUAAGCACCGGCUAACUACGUGCCAGCAGCCGCGGUAAUACGUAGGGUGCGAGCGUUAAUCGGAAUUACUGGGCGUAAAGCGUGCGCAGGCGGUUUUGUAAGCUCGAUGUGAAAUCCCCGGGCGCAACCUGGUCACUGCAUUGGGGACUGCAAGGCUGGAGUGCGGCAGAGGGGGAUGGAAUUCCGCGUGUAGCAGUGAAAUGCGUAGAGAUGCGGAUGAACACCGAUGGCGAAGGCAAUCCCCUGGGCCUGCACUGACGCUCAUGCACGAAAGCGUGGGGAGCAAACAGGAUUAGAUACCCUGGUAGUCC
rnacentral:rRNA from 1 species